rnacentral:rRNA from 1 species
AACGGCGAGUGAAGCGGCAAGAGACUCAAAUUUGAAAUCUGGCCCCCCCCCGGGGGUCCGAGUUGUAAUUUGGAGAGGAUGCUUCGGGUUCGGUCCCGGUCCAAGUGCCCUGGGACGGGCCGUCGGAGAGGGUGAGAAUCCCGUCUGCGACCGGUGACUGGGCCUGGGUGAAGCUCCCUCGACGAGUCGAGUUGUUUGGGAAUGCAGCUCUAAAUGGGUGGUAAAUUUCAUCUAAAGCUAAAUAUGGGCCGGAGACCGAUAGCGCACAAGUAGAGUGAUCGAAAGAUGAAAAGCACUUUGGAAAGAGAGUCAAACAGCACGUGAAAUUGUUGAAAGGGAAGCGCUUGCGAUCAGACUCGCCCGGGGAGGUUCAGCCGGCACUUGUGCCGGUGCAUUCCUACCCGGGCGGGCCAGCGUCGGUUCGGACGGCCUGUCAAAGGCCCCCGGAAGGUAGCGCCCUUCGGGGCGUCUUAUAGCCGGGGGUGUCAUGCGGCCUGUCCGGACCGAGGAACGCGCCUUUGGGCUCGGACGCUGGCGUAAUGGUCGUAAGCGGCCCGUCUUGAAACACGGACCAAGGAGUCUAACAUCCACGCGAGUGUUCGGGUGUCCAAAACCCGUCCGCGCAGUGAAAGCGAACGGAGGUGGGAACCCCCUUGUGGGGUGCACCAUCGACCGAUCCUGAUGUCUUCGGAUGGAUUUGAGUAGGAGCGUGGCUGUUGGGACCCGAAAGAUGGUGAACUAUGCCUGAAUAGGGCGAAGCCAGAGGAAACUCUGGUGGAGGCUCGCAGCGGUUCUGACGUGCAAAUCGAUCGUCAAAUUUGGGUAUAGGGGCGAAAGACUAAUCGAACCAUCU